rnacentral:misc_RNA from 1 species
UAUAGAGAAUACCGUUUCCACGAAAACGGUCAAAUCCAAAGCGACUGUCUGAACAUCUCUUUUUGAAAAUGGGUAUAAUUCUGCUGGGUCAGUAGUUCAGUUGGUUAGAAUGCCGCUCUGAUACAGCGGAGGUCGAAGAUUCGAGUUCUUCCUGACCCACCACUUAAAUUGAUGAGGUUGGAAUCAAAAACAAAUACUUGUUUUUGAUUCCAGAUGUUCUGAUGAAUAUCUUCGGAAUCUGCUUUUAUUAGCAAUCAUUGUAAAUCGGUUUUUAAUGUCGUAAAUCAAACUUUAUGGAAACAUGACUUUUGAUUUAUUGAACAUCGUAAUCUCAAAAAUCUUUCUAAAUAGAGUAAUCACGAAAGUGAUAAUUCAAUUAGAGAAGCAAGAAUCAACUUAAAUGCUUAAAAAACUCAUUAAGUUCUUUUGAUUGUGUUUGAAAACUUUCUCUUCAAGCAUAAGAUAAAAAGUAACAAAGGGUGUUUAGUGGAUGCCUUGGCAAUCAGAGGCGAUGAAGGACGUGAAAGACUGCGAUAAGUCCGGGUGAGGCGUCAAUAUCCUUUGACCCCGGAAUUUC